CUCCCCUAGCCAGCACCUCUCCUAAACAGGUGUUCUACUCUGCUAGCCAGCACCUCUCCUAAACAGGUGUUCUACUCUGCUAGCCAGCACCUCUCCUAAACAGGUGUUCUACUCUGCUAGCCAGCACCUCUCCUAAACAGGUGUUCUACUCCCCUAGCCAGCACCUCUCCUAAACAGGUGUUCUCCUCUAGCCAGCACCUCUCCUAAACAGGUGUUCUACUCCCCUAGCCAGCACCUCUCCUAAACAGGUGUUCUACUCCCCUAGCCAGCACCUCUCCUAAACAGGUGUUCUACUCCCCUAGCCAGCACCUCUCCUAAACAGGUGUUCUACUCCCCUAGCCAGCACCUCUCCUAAACAGGUGUUCUACUCUGCUAGCCAGCACCUCUCCUAAACAGGUGUUCUACUCCCCUAGCCAGCACCUCUCCUAAACAGGUGUUCUACUCUGCUAGCCAGCACCUCUCCUAAACAGGUGUUCUACUCUGCUAGCCAGCACCUCUCCUAAACAGGUGUU